CUUCAGUGAUGAUACGAUGAUGAGUCAAAACGGGAUACAGUCUCUGGGUUCACUGCGUCAGGCUCAGGUUCUGUGUCUCUGGGUUCAGUACCCCAGAGCAGCGUGUCUUUCAGUUGAAGACAUUGAGGCAUUUGUCUGAGAAGG